AUUAUAGUAAGUGGCAGUAUCAUAACCAAUGAAGUUAAUCUGAGGUGUGAUUAUUGCUAGUUGAAAACUUUUCCCAAUACUUUGCUAUAAGGUCUUGCUUCUUGUAUGCAUUGCGAACUAAGUUG
rnacentral:snRNA from 1 species